GAAAGAUGUGCAGCACACAACGGACACACGUGUGCAUCUUCACUGCUGCAGACCCGCCCUCACUGUCAUUCAUCUGCAGAGAAAGAGAGAGAGCAAUGAGUAAACACAAAAACUACAACGACAUCACUACAAGCUUACAGCAUUACUCUCAUACAAACUCUCAAGACUUUAUACACAAUUAAGCGCUUCUUCACGCCGAAAGUCACUUACAGUGCACAUGAUUUAUGGACCAUUGGUUCCAGUUCAUCCAUUAUCUCCAGCUCUACUGGAUCAGUGAAGUGUUGUGGACUGUAAGACUGUUGAACAGAAGCAGAGACGUGUGGACAGACACUGACUGUACUAAUGAUGAUCAUCUGCUGCUGCACAGACUCAAGUUUCAAGUAUAACCCCUGCUGGUCAUGACUCCGGAAGCUCCAGCGGGAGAUUGAACUGGUAUCCCCCCCUCACACUCACUGCAGAGAUCUGGUUGGGAUCGAACCAGCAACCUCUGAAGUCGUGGGGCAGUGCUUUUACCACAGAGCCACAGAUCUCCUGUCUGAACACCUGCUGGAACUGAUGUUUGGAUGCUGACCUGUGUGUGAGCUGAUUCAAUAAAACAAGAUACAAGUCAGAUCUG
rnacentral:lncRNA from 1 species